GGAGAGGUGCCGGAGCGGUCGAACGGGGCGGUCUCGAAAACCGUUGUGCGAGCAAUCGUACCGAGGGUUCGAAUCCCACCCUCUCCGCCA
rnacentral:tRNA from 1 species